rnacentral:precursor_RNA from 14 species
CUAUGAAAAAAAUGAAGAUGUCACAUGUUCACAGUAUUCUCUGUAGCCUUAUCAAUUUUCACUGUGUAAAAUUGAGGACCAGUAGAAUGCUGUAGACGUGUUUGACAACUCCUAUUUGAAGGUAA